CUUCUUACCUCUUCUUCCUUUCGAGCAGCGGCUUCUUCGGCUCCUCCAUCAUCUGUCGUCUGCAGAGCACCGGCCACCACCCCCGUCACUCGUGGUAGAGGUGCAAUUCCGGCCUUCCUUCUCGCUCGCUCGCUGGAACGCCCCGCGCGAGAUUGCCAGCAACCGAAUACCCUCGAGGGCCGGCGUGGUGUUUGUUCCCGGUUCGAGGGUCUCGAGCUCCCGAUUACGCGCAUUACGGUUCCGUCCCCGCCUCGAUUGGCCGGCGACGGACGUCCGUCGAUCGGAUUUAGCCCCCGCGGUUUCUGAUGUCUGGCGGUUUCUGGCGAUUCGUCUUUGCAGGUGGCACGACGCCGGGACUUACGACGCGAGGACGAAGACCGCCGGUCCGAACGGCUCGAUUCGGAACAAGGAAGAGUACUCCCACGGUGCCAAUGCUGGCUUGAAGAUCGCUCUUGAUUUCUGUGCUAGCAGGAGUUGUUGCAGUAGAAGUCACUAGAGGUCCCACUGUCGACUUUGUUCCCGGAAGAAAGGCACCUGCAGCUAAAGAAGUCUGUGGCAAAAGUAGCUGAUAAGAAGGGGAAAACAGUUGAAGUGGAGAAGCAAGAGCAACUAGAUCCUCUUGCUGGAAAACUACGGCAACAGUGGUUAAAUGGCAUCACAGAAAGAGGUAUUCAAUGCAAAGUGGACCGAGCCU